rnacentral:rRNA from 1 species
GUGGGGAAUAUUGGACAAUGGGCGCAAGCCUGAUCCAGCCAUGCCGCGUGAGUGAUGAAGGCCCUAGGGUUGUAAAGCUCUUUCACCGAUGAAGAUAAUGACGGUAGUCGGAGAAGAAGCCCCGGCUAACUUCGUGCCAGCAGCCGCGGUAAUACGAAGGGGGCUAGCGUUGUUCGGAUUUACUGGGCGUAAAGCGCACGUAGGCGGAUCGUUAAGUCGGGGGUGAAAUCCUGGAGCUCAACUCCAGAACUGCCUUCGAUACUGGCGAUCUUGAGUCCGGAAGAGGUGAGUGGAACUCCUAGUGUAGAGGUGGAAUUCGUAGAUAUUAGGAAGAACACCAGUGGCGAAGGCGGCUCACUGGUCCGGUACUGACGCUGAGGUGCGAAAGCGUGGGGAGCAAACAGGAUUAGAUACCCUUGUAGUCC